rnacentral:rRNA from 1 species
GACGAACGCUGGCGGCGUGCCUAAUACAUGCAAGUCGAGCGGAUGACGGAGGAGCAUGCUCCCCCUGAUUCAGCGGCGGACGGGUGAGUAACACGUGGGCAACCUGCCCUGUAGAUUGGGAUAACUCCGGGAAACCGGGGCUAAUACCGAAUAAUCCUUCGGACCUCAUGGUCCGAUGUUGAAAGACGGUUUCGGCUGUCACUACAGGAUGGGCCCGCGGCGCAUUAGCUAGUUGGUGGGGUAACGGCUCACCAAGGCCACGAUGCGUAGCCGACCUGAGAGGGUGAUCGGCCACACUGGGACUGGGACACGGCCCAGACUCCUACGGAAGGCAGCAGUAGGGAAUCUUCCACAAUGGACGAAAGUCUGAUGGAGCAACGCCGCGUGAGUGAAGAAGGUUCUCGGAUCGUAAAACUCUGUUGUGAGGGAAGAACAAGUACCGGAGUAACUGCCGGUGCCUUGACGGUACCUCAUUAGAAAGCCACGGCUAACUACGUGCCAGCCGCCGCCGUAACAC